rnacentral:rRNA from 1 species
GACGAACGCUGGCGGCGUGCCUAAUACAUGCAAGUAGAACGCUGAAGGAGGAGCUUGCUCUUCUGGAUGAGUUGCGAACGGGUGAGUAACGCGUAGGUAACCUGCCUGGUAGCGGGGAUAACUAUUGGAAACGAUAGCUAAUACCGCAUAAGAGUAGAUGUUGCAUGACAUUUGCUUAAAAGGUGCAAUUGCAUCACUACCAGAUGGACCUGCGUUGUAUUAGCUAGUUGGUGGGGUAACGGCUCACCAAGGCGACGAUACAUAGCCGACCUGAGAGGGUGAUCGGCCACACUGGGACUGAGACACGGCCCAGACUCCUACGGGAGGCAGCAGUAGGGAAUCUUCGGCAAUGGACGGAAGUCUGACCGAGCAACGCCGCGUGAGUGAAGAAGGUUUUCGGAUCGUAAAGCUCGGUUGUAAGAGAAGAACGAGUGUGAGAGUGGAAAGUUCACACUGUGACGGUAUCUUACCAGAAAGGGGCGGCUAACUACGUG